UACAGAGGUCCCAAGCGUUACUGAGAAUCACUGGGUUUAAAGGGCGCGUAGGUGGUCCGUUAAGUCAGUUGUGAAAUCCCCGGGCUCAACCCGGGAACUGCUUCUGAUACUGGCGGACUUGAGGCCAGUAGGGGUCACUAGAACUGACGGUGGAGCGGUGAAAUGCGUAGAUAUCGUCAGGAAUGCCGGUGGUGAAGACGGGUGACUGGGCUGGUUCUGACACUGAGGCACGAAAGCGUGGGGAGCGAACGGG
rnacentral:rRNA from 1 species